UGAUGUGGAAGGUGUACGUGCCCAAAAAGCCAUCUCCCGGCAGUCAGCUGAGUCCCACAACACAUAACAACAUACUGUUGCCAAUAUGAAAGAGAAAGCAGCAGGUCGUUAAAAUUGCUGCGUUGGUCAAUUGCACCCAAGGUCCAACUGAAAUUUGGCUUCCACUUUUAACCCAACCCCUUCGAAAGACACGCAUACAUACAGGUAUUUUAUUUGUGCUGGCUUGCCUCUAACCGCUAGGCUAACUGCUGCCAAUGUUAGACCAUGGAGGUGGUGAAAUUGUUAGGUUAUUUCAUUGGUACAGCUAUCUAUAUCACCUGAGGUCAGAGUUAUGGGGAGAAUGCAAGACUUCCAGUGAGAGUUGUGCUGGUUAGAGGUUUUUUUCUCCAGCAAUUAAAAUAAAUUCAUGAGGCCCUAAUCUAAAUCCUAAUGGAUUUCGCAUGACUGGGAAUAAAGGUAUGCAUCUAUUGGUCAAAGAUAGUUUAAAAAAAAAAAAAAAAUAGGUCUCACAUUGUGCCUCAGGAUCUCAUCUGUGGCUCAGUUGGUAGAGCAUGGCGCUUGUAACGCCAGGGUAGUGGGUUCGAUUCCCGGGACCACCCAUACGUAGAAUGUAUGCACACAUGACUGUAAGUCGCUUUGGAUAAAAGCGUCUGCCAAAUGGCAUAUAUAUAUAUAUCCCAGUAUCUCUGCAUUCAAAUUGCCAUCUAUAAAAUGCAAUUGUGUUUGUUGUCCAUAGCUUAUGCCUGCCAAUAACCAUAACCCCACCACCACCAUGGGGCAGUCUGUUCACAAUGUUGACAUUUUCACAACGCCUUACAUGUGCUCUGCGGUUGUGUGGCUGGUUGGACUUACUGCCAAUUUCUCUUAAAAGAACGUUGGAGGCGGCCUAUGGUAGAAAUUAACAUUCAAUUCUCUGGCAACAGUUCUCGUAGACAUUCCUGCCGACAGCAUGCCAAUUGCACGCUCCCUCAACUUGAGAUCUGUGGCAGUGUGUUGUGACAAAAUGAAGCGUUUUGGUGGCCUUUUAUUUUCCCCAGCACGAGGUGCACCUGUGUAAUGAUCAUGCUGUUAAUCAGCUUCUUGAUAUCUUGGCAAAGGAGAAAUGCUCGCUAACAGGCAUAUAAACAUAUGUGUGCCCAAAAUUUGAAAGUAAAAAGCUUUUUGUGCAUAUGGAAAAUUAUUUUAUUUCAGCUCAUGAAACUUGGGGCCAACACUUUACAUGCUUCGUUCAUAUUUUUUUCCCGGUGUAGAUAUAAAAUUGUGCGACUAAGACCUAUGAUUUUGGCAAUGAUGCCCUUUAUCUACUUCCCAAGAGUCAAAUUAAUUUGCGGAUACCAUUUUUAUAUCCCUGCGAGCAGUUUGAAGGAAGUUGCUAACUAGCGCUACCGCAAUGACUGGAAGACUAUGGGUAUCUUCUAGCAUGCUAGCAGAUACCUAAUAGGCAUGCAAUCGGGGCAUAGAGACAUACAAAUGGUAUCCACAAAUUAAUCUGACUCUGGGGAAGUAAGUAUAGGGCCAAAAUCCAGAAGUAUCCCUUUUAAGGGAUUAUGCAAGGCACACACGUUCUCUUCUCCUAGCAGCAUACCGACGCUAGAAUACAGACUCCUUAAGCAGGUCGGUUCAGAAGGUCAGUUGUGUAAUGGUCUUAACAUUCUCGUUUACUUUGUUGUCAAGGGACCAACAUACUUUUGACAGAUGUUAGCAGCAUGUCUUUCUUUCGUUGACAUUCAUGUGCUUUUUCUCAAAUUAUAUAUUGUUCCUGUAGUUUAAUAAUAUAAUCAAGCCUAUGAUUUUUUGACUUUGGUUGAGACUUUUGUAAGUUAUUUAAGUGAGUAGGUUUUAAUACGUUUUGCAUGUCCUUACAUGUUACUAUGUCCUAAUUGUAAUUUUUUUCAGUUAAUUUUCUCUGAAUGUGAAGCACUGUUUACUGACGCUCAUGCUAUUAUGUCUCCUCAGCAACUAACCUGUGACGUGUCCUGUGAUUGAUUGAUUAUUAUUUAUUAUUAUUAUUAUUAUUAUUAUUA